rnacentral:rRNA from 1 species
UACGUAGGGGGCAAGCGUUGUUCGGAUUCAUUGGGCGUAAAGGGUGUGUAGGUGGCGCGCUAAGUCGGGUGUGAAAUUUCGGAGCUUAACUCCGAAACUGCAUUCGAUACUGGCGUGCUUGAGGACUGGAGAGGAGACUGGAAUUUACGGUGUAGCAGUGAAAUGCGUAGAUAUCGUAAGGAAGACCAGUGGCGAAGGCGGGUCUCUGGACAGUUCCUGGCACUGAGACACGAAGGCCAGGGGAGCAAACGGG